rnacentral:rRNA from 1 species
UACAGAGGUCCCAAGCGUUGUUCGGAUUCACUGGGCGUAAAGGGUGCGUAGGUGGCAGGGUAAGUUUGAUGUGAAAUCUAUGGGCUCAACCCAUAGUCUGCAUCGGAAACUGUCGGGCUUGAGUAUGGGAGAGGUGAGUGGAAUUUCCGGUGUAGCGGUGAAAUGCGUAGAUAUCGGAAGGAACACCUGUGGCGAAAGCGGCUCACUGGACCAUUACUGACGCUGAGGCACGAAAGCUAGGGGAGCAAACAGG